rnacentral:rRNA from 1 species
CUGCGGAGGGAUCAUUACCAGAGAUGGCGGGCCCCCGCGCCCCCGUCCCCAACCCUUUGUCGACCAAACCACUUUUGCCUCGGGGGUGGAGCGGCCUCCGCCGCCCCCGGUGGACCAACCAACUCUGUCUCUUUGCGUCGGAGUCUUUGAUGAAUAUAUGAAAACUUUUAACAACGGAUCUCUUGGUUCUGGCAUCGAUGAAGAACGCAGCGAAAUGCGAUAAGUAAUGUGAAUUGCAGAAUUCAGUGAAUCAUCGAAUCUUUGAACGCACAUUGCGCCCUCUGGCAUUCCGGGGGGCAUGCCCGUUCGAGCGUCAUUAACACCCAUCAAGCCUGGCUUGGUAUUGGGCGACGGGAUCUCCCCGCGCCCCGAUUUCGCCGGCUGGACGUACCCCGAUCUCAAGCGCUGUAAUGAGCCUUCGCUGGAGGGAUGGGCGGCCACGCCGUUAAACUCACAUCAAUCAAGUUGACCUCGGAUCGGGUAGGAAUACCCGCUGAACUUAA